GUGUGGGGGGACAUUCCACGUUUUCCGCGCCGUAGCUAACGCAUUAAGUGCCCCGCCUGGGGAGUACGGCCGCAAGGCUAAAACUCAAAGGAAUUGACGGGGGCCCGCACAAGCGGCGGAGCAUGCGGAUUAAUUCGAUGCAACGCGAAGAACCUUACCAAGGCUUGACAUGAACCGGAAAGACCUGGAAACAGGUGCCCCGCUUGCGGUCGGUUUACAGGUGGUGCAUGGUUGUCGUCAGCUCGUGUCGUGAGAUGUUGGGUUAAGUCCCGCAACGAGCGCAACCCUCGUUCUAUGUUGCCAGCGGUUCGGCCGGGGACUCAUAGGAGACUGCCGGGGUCAACUCGGA
rnacentral:rRNA from 1 species